GGUUCCGUUGUGUAAUGGUUAGCACUCUGGACUUUGAAUCCAGCGAUCCGAGUUCGAGUCUCGGUGGAACCU
rnacentral:tRNA from 1 species